ensembl:misc_RNA Metazoa_SRP Metazoan signal recognition particle RNA
GCUGGGCAUGGUGGUGCAUGCCUGUAGUCCCAGCUGCUAGGGAGGCUGAGGUAGGAGGAUUGCUUGAGCCUGGGAAGUUGAGGCUGCAGUGAGUCGUGAUUGUGCCACUGCAGUCCAGCCUGGGUGACAGAGUGAGAUCUUGUUUCAA